UUAUUGGUUGUUGGUGUUCAAGUGUUUAUUGCUUUCAUAAUAAUUACUGAAACAAAGGCACAGAUGGAUAAAAAUGAUCAAGAUAGAAACUGUGACAUAAGUUCACUGUUCUUGUGCAUGUAUAUAUCCUCUCUCAAUGUCUUGUUACAAGACGGUGUCAAUAUCUUGGCUGUUAAUUAUGGUUCUCCUGGUGCAUGCCCAUAUCCUUGGCAAUUGAAACUCGUAAGUUUGGGCCAACAUUUUUUUACUCUCUCUCUCUCUCUCUCUCUCUCUCUCUCAUGGAUUAUUGUCAUUGCAAUUUUAUUGCAUUUAUUGAGAAAGAAUGCUGAAGCUACAUUAGAUGUCUUU